rnacentral:misc_RNA from 1 species
GAUGAAGAACGUAACGAAAUGCGAUAAGUAAUGUGAAUUGCAGAAUUCAGUGAAUCAUCGAAUCUUUGAACGCACAUUGCGCCCGCCAGUAUUCUGGCGGGCAUGCCUGUUCGAGCGUCAUUACAACCCUCAGGCCCCCGGGCCUGGCGUUGGGGAUCGGCGGAAGCCCCCUGCGGGCACAACGCCGUCCCCCAAAUACAGUGGCGGUCCCGCCGCAGCUUCCAUUGCGUAGUAGCUAACACCUCGCAACUGGAGAGCGGCGCGGCCACGCCGUAAAACACCCAACUUCUGAAUGUUGACCUCGAAUCAGGUAGGAAUACCCGCUGAACUUAAGCAUAUCAAUAAGCGGAGGA